CUCGAGCUCUCGGUCUAUUUCUGUCCCCAGCGCAUCAUCAUGAGUUUGGUUUGACCCACUGCUGUCUGAGUGAUUGGCAAUUUCAGCUGUCUGUCCACAUCAGGAGCUGCUAAAAGAUGGUGAGUGAAGCAGUGACGGGUGAAGAAUAACUUGCAGGGAUACACUGGACAUAUGGAGAAUUCAAGAAAUACUUGCGAUUACUGAUGAUGACAGCGACAAGGAAAUGCAGGAGAUAAGGACACUGGGGAGAUAAGGACAUCAACAAGAAAACACAAGUACGUCUCUAGACCAUUGAAGGGUGACAGAACACACAGGGAACUGAAGAUCGAUAGGACAGUCAAGACUCAAACCUGUGUGCCAUGAUAUACUUAUGAA